rnacentral:rRNA from 1 species
UACAGGGGGAGCAAGCGUUGUUCGGAUUUACUGGGCGUAAAGGGCGCGUAGGCGGUCAGCACAAGUCAGUUGUGAAAUCUCCGGGCUUAACUCGGAAAGGUCAACUGAUACUGUGCGACUAGAGUGCGGAAGGGGCAACUGGAAUUCUCGGUGUAGCGGUGAAAUGCGUAGAUAUCGAGAGGAACACCUGCGGCGAAGGCGGGUUGCUGGGCCGACACUGACGCUGAUGCGCGAAAGCCAGGGGAGCGAACGGG